UCCGGCUCCUUAUGAAAUCUCCCGCCACCAGGGCUGAGCGUCACUGCUUGUAUUUCUCACUCGGUGUUGUGGCCGGUAACCAAGAUGCAGUUUUCUGAAAGGCGCAUGAAGCUGAGAUUGUUAGGUGACCAGAGAAGUGCCACCUACCCUCAUAGCCUCCAGUUUUACCUCGAGCCGCCAUCUGAAAACAUAUCUUUGAUAGAGUUUGAAAGCUUGGCUAUUGACCGAGUGAAAUGUGAGUGAUAUUUAACUUAGAAUUCAUAUUUUCUUGAGAAGCUCACUUAGGCUUUGUGGGAAUGAAUGAAGAUUCCUCCCCACCCCCUAUCCCCUUUCAACAAUUCAUUAAAAAACAUUAAGGUUUGCUAUUCUUGCA